UCGCCGGGGUGAGGGCGGAAGAGAAGAGGUUCAGUUCCGGACGCCGCCGUCGCCAUCUGUCACCUCCUCCUCCGCCUCCCGCUGCCACCGUCUGGACCGGGUCUCACAGCCGUCUCCGUCUCCCCGUCCUAACCUCGACGGUGCUCCUCUCUUAUUCUGCCGCUCACUUCUCUGUGUAUCCCCUGCAGAUGGAUCUAGUCGGUGUCACCACUCCUGAGCCCAGGCCAGGGUCGGCUUGGGGGCCCAACAAGAUGAUGCAGCAGUUGUAUAAGGAAUGCAAUCUCGUCCAUGCUGAUUUGAUGAGUACAGCAUGCUAUGGCAUGCUGGAAAGUUUGUGUCUUGCCUUUGAACUAGGUCUGGUUGAUUGAUGUUAGUCUGUGGAGCCAACCCAUCCUCAUGGUCUGGACUUCUUGUUUUGAGAUUGCAGGAAUGUAUCACAGUUUUUUCAGAAAGGGGGAGUAAGUGAAGCCCUUGGUGAACGAGACCUCUUCAAUGCUGUGUCAGGCUUAAACAUAACAGCUGAUAAUGAAGCUGAUUUCCUGGCUGAGAUAGAAGCUUUGGAGAAGAUGAAUGAAGAUCAUGUACAGAAGAAUGGAAGGAAGGCUGCUUCAUUUUUAAAAGAUGACGGAGAUCCACCGAUUAUAUGUGAUGAAUAACAUCAACACUAACUGCCUCUAACUAGGUGCAGUGGUGAUUGUCACCUGCCAGUGGCAAGUGGAAUUGUGGGUAACUUAAAAUACCAAAAAAGGAAACACAAGGAGUGUACCAUGGUGCUUCUGUGUUUUUUUUUCCUUGUGACCCAUGUGCCAGAUGUGUGGAAUUUUUAGUUUGGCACUAUAAAAAUAGAAUGUCACUACCUCUUAUUAUAUGAUUGGGCUAAUUUAAUUCUUCAGCUGAACUAGGUUAUUGUAGUUGAAGUAGACAUUUUUGCAUGAUUCAGGUCAAAGUGUUUUGGUGCAUAUUUUUAAAAAUUUAGGCAAACAUUUCUAUGUGUGUGAAGAAAGGACAACUAUAUUUGGAAAAGAGAAUUUUAGUAGAAUUUCUUUUUCUUCCCUUACUCUUCCAUGUUGGAUAUCUUCCUUUCUAAAACAUUUUAUGGAAGUCAGUAUUUCUCCAUUUUUCUUCCCCAAAUGAAGUACUUAACCAUAAUUCUAAAGAGAAAUAUGGGUAUUCCUUGGUGAAAGUGAUGAAUGAAAAUUGUUUUGGAAUGACUUGAGUGAAAGGCAUUAAAUGCCCUGUGUCCUUUAUUGAUGCAUUUGAAAAUCUGAAUUCAGGCCUACAGCUAUUCAAGGGAAAGCUUCAUAGGUUCCUGAAUAAUUCUGAUCUAGAUUAUAUCCAAGAGGUUUAAUUUGAAUGUUUUACAAAUUUCUUAAUUUCUGGUUUUUCUAUUUUUAGGCUUAAUUUGUUAAGUAAGGAUGAAGAACCCACAGUUUACACUUAGAAUUAAAAUUUAAAUUACUUGGGAUGACAGGAUUUGAGAUUUAACCAUGUUUUACAUAUUUGGAUAAAAUUUUUAUUUUAAAAAUAUAGUACAUUUUACACUUUGCUAAAUCGUUACUGUGUGAAGUUAUAAGGCAGCCACUUAUUUUAAGUGGCUCUAAGCAGGUUAGCUGGAAGACAAUUAGAAGCAGUCAUAUAAUGAAACUCAGGGGUACCAUAGAUAUACAUAAACUAAGACAGACUAUUGACUUCAGUUUUAAUGGAACAUUCAGCACUAACUGACUAAUUUCAGAUUGUAUACCUGAGCUAAUCGAAGUUCAUCAGCUACAUCUUUGCUAUUGUCUCAGAAGUUAGGUCAAAUUGGAACACUUUCUAAAAACCCAUAUUGGUUCUGUGUUAAGAUAAAUUACAUUUUUCUAGAAAUAAAAAGUUAAAAAUUUAAAUAUUGAGACUUGAAAACUCCUUUACUACAUUUGAAAAAUUAAUGAUUCCUUUUUUCUUCUUAGGUAAAUCUUUUUCAUUGCUUUUUGCUGAAUUCUAGAGAGAUGGAAUCUUUGAUAAUUCAUUACUUUUGAAACAUUCUUACUACUCUGACAAGGGUUUUAAGAUGACUUGUUAUUUAAUGCAUUGUUAUAUUAAGAAAGCAAUCUAAUUUUGAAAACCUAACAUUUAAAAAAUUUUGGUUUUAUAACAUCCCUGUUUUACAAAGAACAGCAAACCAUUGCUGUGUGACAUUCUUGCAGUGUGUGUGGAAAGUGCUCUUUUUUUAAAAAUUAAAAAAAGAAAUUCACUC